UACAGAGGGUGCAAGCGUUGUUCGGAAUCAUUGGGCGUAAAGGGCGUGUAGGCGGUUUGCUAAGUCAUGUGUGAAAGCCCUCGGCUUAACCGAGGAACGACGCAUGAAACUGGCAGCUAGAGUACCAAAGAGGGGGUGGAAUUCCCGGGUGUAGCGGUGAAAUGCGUAGAUAAUCGGGAGGAACACGGUGGCGAAGGCGGCCCCCUGGUUG
rnacentral:rRNA from 1 species